rnacentral:rRNA from 1 species
UACGAAGGGGGCUAGCGUUGCUCGGAAUCACUGGGCGUAAAGCGCACGUAGGCGGCUUUCUAAGUCAGGGGUGAAAUCCUGGAGCUCAACUCCAGAACUGCCUUUGAUACUGGAGAGCUUGAGUCCGGAAGAGGUGAGUGGAACUCCGAGUGUAGAGGUGAAAUUCGUAGAUAUUCGGAAGAACACCAGUGGCGAAGGCGGCUCACUGGUCCGGUACUGACGCUGAUGUGCGAAAGCGUGGGGAGCA